UACGUAGGGUGCGAGCGUUGUCCGGAAUUACUGGGCGUAAAGAGCUCGUAGGUGGUUUGUCGCGUUGUCCGUGAAAACUCACAACUCAAUUGUGGGCGUGCGGGCGAUACGGGCAGACUGGAGUACUGCAGGGGAGACUGGAAUUCCUGGUGUAGCGGUGGAAUGCGCAGAUAUCAGGAGGAACACCAGCGGCGAAGGCGGCAUCCUGGACUGGUCCUGACACUCGAGGAGCGAAAGCGUGGGGAGCGAUC
rnacentral:rRNA from 1 species